rnacentral:rRNA from 1 species
GUUGUAUAGUUAAGUGACUAAGCGUACACGGUGGAUGCCUAGGCGGUAGAAGGCGAUGAAGGACGUGAUAGCCUGCGAUAAGCUCUGGUGAGGUGGCAAAUAACCUUUGACCCAGAGAUUUCCGAAUGGGAAAACCCAUCCUUUAUGGAUAACCUCUUAUGAGGUGGCUAACCCGGAGAACUGAAACAUCUAAGUACCCGGAGGAAAAGAAAUCAACCGAGAUUCCCUAAGUAGCGGCGAGCGAACGGGGACCAGCCCUUAAGCUGAUAUUGGAUUAGUAGAAUAGUCUGGAAAGUCUAACGAUACAGGGUGAUAGUCCCGUAUACGAAAAUCUUUUAUUGGUGAAAUCGAGUAGGACGGAACACGUGAAAUUCUGUCUGAACAUGGGGGGACCACCCUCCAAGGCUAAAUACUCUCUACCGACCGAUAGUGAACCAGUACCGUGAGGGAAAGGCGAAAAGAACCCCUGAAGGGGAGUGAAAUAGAACCUGAAACCGUGUACGUACAAGCAGUAGGAGCAUACUUGUUAUGUGACUGCGUACCUUUUGUAUAAUGGGUCAGCGACUUACAUUAUGUAGCGAGGUUAACCGAAUAGGGGAGCCGUAGGGAAACCGAGUCUUAAAUGGGCGUCUAGUUGCAUGGUGUAGACCCGAAACCGGGCGAUCUAUCCAUGGCCAGGUUGAAGGUGCCGUAACAGGUACUGGAGGACCGAACCCACGUAUGUUGAAAAAUGCGGGGAUGAGUUGUGGAUCGGAGUGAAAGGCUAAUCAAGCCCGGAGAUAGCUGGUUUCUCCUCGAAAUCUAUUUAGGUAGAGCCUCAUGUCUCACUGCUGGGGGUAGAGCACUGUUAUGGUCUAGCGGCCCGUCAAGGGUUAGCAGCCCAUUGCAAACUCCGAAUACCAGCAAGUGCAAUCAUGGGAGACAGACUGCGGGUGCUAACGUCCGUAGUCAAGAGGGAAACAACCCAGACCGCCAUCUAAGGUCCCUAAAUAUUACUAAGUGGGAAAGGAUGUGGGAAGGCUUAGACAGUCAGGAGGUUGGCUUAGAAGCAGCCACCCUUUAAAGAAAGCGUAAUAGCUCACUGAUCGAGUCGGCCUGCGCCGAAGAUUUAACGGGGCUAAGUAAUAUACCGAAGAUGCGGAUGCGUGUUUACACGCAUGGUAGAGGAGCGUUCUGUAAGCCUGCGAAGGGGCAUUGUAAAGUGUCCUGGAGGUAUCAGAAGUGCGAAUGCUGACAUGAGUAGCGAUAAAGGGAGUGAAAAGCUCCCUCGCCGAAAGACCAAGGUUUCCUACGCAACGUUAAUCGACGUAGGGUUAGUCGACCCCUAAGGCGAGGCUGAGAAGCGUAGUCGAUGGGAAGCAGGUUAAUAUUCCUGCACUAUUUAUUACUGCGAUGGAGGGACGGAGUAGGCUAGAUCAGCUUGGCGAUGGUUGUCCAAGUUUAAGAUUGUAGGCAUGUAUCUUAGGCAAAUCCGGGAUACUUUAUGCUGAGAAUUGAUGACGAGUCCUCUUUUGGACGAAGUGAUUGAUGCCAUGCUUCCAAGAAAAGCUUCUAAGCUUCAGGUAAUAAAUAAUCGUACCCCAAACCAACACAGGUGGUCAGGAUGAGAAUUCUAAGGCGCUUGAGAGAACUCGGCUGAAGGAACUAGGCAAAAUGGUACCGUAACUUCGGGAGAAGGUACGCCUCCUAACGUGAAGGACUUGCUCCGUAAGCGUCUGGAGGUUGCAAUAAACUGGUGGCUGCAACUGUUUACUAAAAACAUAGCACUCUGCAAAAUCGAAAGAUGAAGUAUAGGGUGUGACGCCUGCCCGGUGCCGGAAGGUUAAUUGAUGGGGUUAGCAUUAGCGAAGCUCUUGAUCGAAGCCCCGGUAAACGGCGGCCGUAACUAUAACGGUCCUAAGGUAGCGAAAUUCCUUGUCGGGUAAGUUCCGACCUGCACGAAUGGCGUAAUGAUGGCCACACUGUCUCCAGCCGAGACUCAGCGAAAUUGAAAUCGCAGUUAAGAUGCUGCGUACCCGCGGCUAGACGGAAAGACCCCGUGAACCUUUACUACAGCUUUGCACUGGACUUUGAUACUAUCUGUGUAGGAUAGGUGGGAGGCUUUGAAACUGUGACGCCAGUUGCAGUGGAGCCAUCCUUGAAAUACCACCCUGAUAUUAUUGAGGUUCUAACCUCGGGCAGUGAAUCCUGCUCAGGGACAGUGUAUGGUGGGUAGUUUGACUGGGGCGGUCUCCUCCUAAAGAGUAACGGAGGAGCGCGAAGGUACCCUCAGCACGGUCGGACAUCGUGCAAUGAGCGCAAGAGUAAAAGGGUGCUUGACUGCGAGACAGACACGUCGAGCAGGUGCGAAAGCAGGUUCUAGUGAUCCGGUGGUUCUGUGUGGAAGGGCCAUCGCUCAACGGAUAAAAGGUACUCCGGGGAUAACAGGCUGAUACCGCCCAAGAGUUCAUAUCGACGGCGGUGUUUGGCACCUCGAUGUCGGCUCAUCACAUCCUGGGGCUGAAGUCGGUCCCAAGGGUAUGGCUGUUCGCCAUUUAAAGUGGUACGCGAGCUGGGUUUAGAACGUCGUGAGACAGUUCGGUCCCUAUCUGCCGUGGGCGUUGGAAAAUUGAGAGGGGCUGCUCCUAGUACGAGAGGACCGGAGUGGACGAACCCCUGGUGUUCCGGUUGUGAUGCCAAUUGCAUUGCCGGGUAGCUAUGUUCGGAAAGGAUAACCGCUGAAAGCAUCUAAGCGGGAAACCUGCCUCAAGAUAAGUUUUCCCUAGACUUUAAGUCUUCUGAAGGGCCGUUAGAGACUAUGACGUUGAUAGGCAAGAUGUGGAAGUGCAGUAAUGUAUGAAGCUAACUUGUACUAAUUACCCGUGAGGCUUAACUAUACAACUCAAAAG